AGCGAACGCUGGCGGCAGGCCUAACACAUGCAAGUCGAACGAACCUUUCGGGGUUAGUGGCGGACGGGUGAGUAACACGUGGGAACGUGCCUUUAGGUUCGGAAUAACUCAGGGAAACUUGUGCUAAUACCGAAUGUGCCCUUCGGGGGAAAGAUUAAUCGCCUUUAGAGCGGCCCGCGUCUGAUUAGCUAGUUGGUUGAGGUAAUGGCUCACCAAGGCGACGAUCAGUAGCUGGUCUGAGAGGAGGAUCAGCCACAUUGGGACUGAGACACGGCCCAAACUCCUACGGGAGGGAGCAGUGGGGAAUCUUGCGCAAUGGGCGAAAGCCUGACGCAGCCAUGCCGCGUGAAUGAUGAAGGUCUUAGGAUUGUAAAAUUCUUUCACCGGGGACGAUAAUGACGGUACCCGGAGAAGAAGCCCCGGCUAACUUCGUG
rnacentral:rRNA from 1 species